CUCGGAUAUUUUACGAAUAUCUGUGACCAUAAGGUUUGGGAGCUUAAAAAUUGGAAUUGGUGUUUUGAGAAGUAGAUGUGUUUGAGACUACCUCGAUCCAUAUCUUCGUUCAUCACUGCGAGUUUUUCGGAAGAGAGGCUUUUGGGGAUGGUAAGGAACAGGGUAAUGCGUCAGGCCGGCAACGGAGCAGCGAAAACCUGUCGACGAAUGAUAGACCUGGAACGAAAUGGAUGUCAAGUGUUUACCAAUCAAAAUGCUGGGACUGAUUUUUAU
rfam:Entamoeba invadens IP1 unplaced genomic scaffold scaff_1105074726597, whole genome shotgun sequence.